rnacentral:rRNA from 1 species
GUCGAUCUGCCCAAUGAUAUUUAUUUAAUGGCUGCAGUAUAACUGACUGUACAAAGGUAGCAUAAUCAAUUGGUUUUUAAAUGGAAUCUGGAAUGAAAGUAUUAAUGAAAUAUAUACUGUCUCAUAUAUAUUUUAUGAAUUUAAAAUUUUAAUAAAAAUGUUAAAAUUUUUUUAUGGGACGAUAAGACCCUAUAGAAUUUUAUAUAAAAUUUUAUUUGUAAUUAAUAUAAAUUAAAAUUUUAUAUUUAAUUGGGAGAAUUAUUAAAUUUAAUAAAUUUUAAUUUUUAUAAACUUUGAUUUAAGAAAAUUGAAUUGAUCUUUAAUUUAAAAUUAAUAGAAUAAAUUACCUUAGGGAUAACAGCGUUAUAUUUUUUUAUAGAUCUUAUAGAAAAAAAUGAUUGCGACCUCGAUGUUGAAUUAAGAUAAAUUUUAAAUGCAGAAGUUUAAUGAUUAAGUCUG